GUGAGUCAUCGAAUCUUUGAACGCACAUUGCACCAAAAGUAUUCCUUUUGGUACGCUUGUCUGAGUGUCCUUUUAUUCUAUCACUCCAUUAAACACAUAUAUUGAUUUUAGGAGUGGAUGUUGUAGUCUUCUCGAUUAUGACGAGUAGACCAUUAAAAUAUCAGAAGCUGAUUACAAUUAAGUUCCUUGUCAGGUACUAUCAUUAUAUCUUCAAAGAAGUAAUCAAGCAUGAAUAAAUAAGGUACACAUUUAAAAACAAAGACCUCAGAUCAAGUGGCAUAACCCGCUGAAUUUAAGCAU
rnacentral:misc_RNA from 1 species